rnacentral:lncRNA from 1 species
AUUGAACAAAUAGAUUACUUGAUUAUCACGCUAGCCAAAUUCACUCAAGGUAGAGACAACUUAGAUGUUGUAUUAAGGUCUUCGGGUAGAGCUAUUUACAAGUAAGGAAUAGGCCAUAAAGCUCAGACUAACCGAACCAAUGCAAAAAGGUUUAUUGAUUUAAGCAAACCUGCUAGAAUUGCUUGCUUUUAUUGCAAACCUAAAGCUAAAAUUAUCCCAAACCUACAACACAAGCUACCACUCAAUGCCACGCUAGUUCCACUUACCGC